rnacentral:misc_RNA from 1 species
UGUGGGGGUUGCGGGCUUCGCAAGAGGUCGGCUCUCCUUAAAUGCAUUAGCGGAAACCGCUUGCAGGAUUCAUUCACUUUUGGCGUGAUAGUAUCGUCGUCAAAGGUAGUGUCUCCGAGGUGUCUGCUUUCUAACCGUCCUUACGGACUCUUAAUGACUUGUUUGACCUCAAAUCAGGUAGGACUACCCGCUGAACUUAA